rnacentral:lncRNA from 1 species
GUGGGAGUGGUGAGGCACUGGAACAAGUUACUAUGGGAUGGGGCAUCCACCACAUCUACAGAGUCAUUCGAGACCAGGCUGGACCAGGCUCUGUGCAACCUGAUCUGGCUGUGGAUGUCCCUUUUCAUUGCAGGGGAGCUGAACUAGAUGACCCUUAGAGAUCCCUUCCAACUCUGUGGAUUCUCAGAUUGUGUUCUGACCUGUCGUCCACUAGGACACCCAGGUCAUUCCCUGCAGAUAUCUUUUUCAGCGGGUCACCUCCUAACCUGUACUGAUGCGUGUGGUUAUUCCUCUCCAGGUAUCACACUCUAAUGUUACAUAAUAAUAUGUUACAUCUUUUUCUGUGUGUUUUAUAUGCUAUAUGACUUAUAAAUCAGCACAGAUCAUCUGCCUGGUACUGGCACUUUUUUUUUUUUUUUUUUUUUUUUUUUCAGAAAUAAGCUGUGCUCUGGUUAUGAAGGGCAGUCGCAGUUAUGCCAGUGAUUGCUGCUUACAAUGACUGCUAGGGAAACAACAUUAUUCCUGUCUUCCCAGAGAAUUUAUCAAGGUAGUCCUUGGGAAUGGUUCUUUUUGGGAACUUUUACUUGUCAUCGUGAAAAUGCAGGCCAAAUUCAACUCCAGUGUCGGCCAAAAUGCAUGGCUCAUGAUGUUCUUCAUCAUCAGGAAAUGGUUGCCAGUCUAUGUGAGGAAGACACUGCUGUUGACUCCUUUGGACCCAUACAGGAAGACGAAAUCAUCACCCACUCUUCCUCAGCAAGGAUGCUGUGAGAAUUGCUAUUGCAUGCUUUUCUCAGAGCCAAAAGGAAACUCACUGGCAGCUCUGUUUUUAAUAGAACGAGAAGACUUGCCUAGUGUCUCAUUAAACACUUCAGUUUGACUUCCCAGAUUCAGCCUGUAAUAUUACUGGCAGAAAUGCUUGCUUCAGUGAAGUAGGAAAAUACAGAGACGAGCGUGCUUUGUUUGUUUGUUCCUCUAUUCCAGCUGGAUUAAGCUAAAUUAGUCUCAUCUCAGUGACUUGCUACAGACAUAAAAGAGCUGUGGUUCUUACUCUGGUGAGCAACAAGAACAUUACCUCUGCUCCAGGCUCUCUCUUUUUUUCCCUUAUGCAUAGUGUGUUCCUCCAAUGUUGGGUAGUUAAGUGAAUCAUAAAGUUUUCAUGCUCUGCAGAGGGUAUAUUCAUAUGUAAAACUACUGCUAUGCUUGUCAUGAAAUUCUAAUAGGACACAGUGCUUACUGCAGCUGUGGACUUUUUCCCAGCCAUCUGAAUCUCCAGGUGUGCCCUUGAGUUGACAAUAACAAGGUGAUGUUCUAUUGUUAUAUUUUUUUUUCCAUAUUUUCUACUCACGCUCUCUGGGAAAAUUGUUUUAUAGGCAGGAAUAGAAAAAACAUUGUUAACUUUUUCCCAAGAUUUGGGUAAUUUUACAUGUUAAGAGUUACAUGUAAAAAAGGUAUAAGGCAUAUUAAUUCAAAUAAAAGAUAAAGCUCAAUUAACUGGAUUAAAAUG